rnacentral:rRNA from 1 species
UGUAUAAUGGGUCAGCGACUUAUAUUCUGUAGCAAGGUUAACCGAAUAGGGGAGCCGGAGGGAAACCGAGUCUUAACCGGGCGUUAAGUUGCAGGGUAUAGACCCGAAACCCGGUGAUCUAGCCAUGGGCAGGUUGAAGGUUGGGUAACACUAACUGGAGGACCGAACCGACUAAUGUUGAAAAAUUAGCGGAUGACCUGUGGCUGGGGGUGAAAGGCCAAUCAAACCGGGAGAUAGCUGGUUCUCCCCGAAAGCUAUUUAGGUAGCGCCUCGUGAAUUCAUCUCCGGGGGUAGAGCACUGUUUCGGCUAGGGGGCCAUCCCGGCUUACCAACCCGAUGCAAACUGCGAAUACCGGAGAAUGUUAUCACGGGAGACACACGGCGGGUGCUAACGUCCGUCGUGAAGAGGGAAACAACCCAGACCGCCAGCUAAGGUCCCAAAGUCAUGGUUAAGUGGGAAACGAUGUGGGAAGGCCCAGACAGCCAGGAUGUUGGCUUAGAAGCAGCCAUCAUUUAAAGAAAGCGUAAUAGCUCACUGGUCGAGUCGGCCUGCGCGGAAGAUGUAACGGGGCUAAACCAUG